rnacentral:rRNA from 1 species
UUUGGUGGUUCUAGCUAGAUGGUCCCACCCGUUCCCAUCCCGAACACGGAAGUGAAACGUCUCAGCGCCGACGAUACUGCACCCGCAAGGAUGUGGGAAAAUAGGUCACUGCCAGAG